CUGCCUUCCUCAACUCUCAAGAACGGCUUCCGCCGUUUCUGUUAUCUCCGUCGAUCUCAAGAAGGGGAAGUGGUUGAGGCGGAGACCACCACGGGAGCCGUUCCCUUCCGGCUCCAAUUGGAUAAGCCCAUCCCCGUCAAGGUCGAUCCAUCGUAACCCUAACACUUUCUUGAUCUCUUGACUCUUCUUGAUCUGUGAUGUGUCUGCUUCUUUGGCGUAGAUCAGAAUGGGAUCCCGAGAAGAUAUGCUCGCCGCGGUCACCGAGGACUCCAUGAUCGUAACCCUUGCAUAGAUCAAGAUCGGAGCUCACAGAGGACUCCAAGAUCGUCUUGCCUCAUUUCAAGUGGCAGAGGCUUUGGAUUAUCCUCCUCCCCACGGUAAAUUCUUUUGAUCCCGAUACUUCUAUUUCCUGGGGUCGAAAUCUUAGUGUCAUUUGUGGUCUGCGUUUUGCACCUGCUAAAAGAUUUAUGUGGAGUUCAAUCUUUUCUCUGUUUCUUGAUUCUAGUUUUCUCCACUAACUUUCCGUGCUAUGGGAUAAACCACUUAGAAGGAAAUGCGAUUGAUACAUCAGCAUUGAGGUGACGAGGCGUAUUGACAUAGAUAGAUCUGGUUACAUGCAAGAGGAAGAAAAGAGAUCCCGGACUUGUUGGUUUGGUGUUUGAUGGUAAAGACUCAUGAAAUGCAAGUAAAGGAAUGCUAAAGAGGAAACUGGACAUUCUUGGCUACAUAUAUGCCAAUGGCUUUUAGUUGUGAAACCGACAAAUGGUUGUGUCUUUCUUCUUGGUGAUCACCUAAAACAUCCUGAUAUCUAGCCACUUUGAUUACACUAUAGCGGUUUUAAGCAUGGUUUUAGAUAUUGAUCAAGUGCUGGUCUCGACACAUUAUUACACCGGUUGAUGUACUAAUUAAUAGAUGACAAGUUUUAUAAGAAAAAAUAUAAAACAAAAAAUAGAAAACAAAGACUGACUUAUAUUUGAGACCAUGUUUUAAAUGCCAUAUAUUAAGUUAUGAUGGUUUUUUUCAGAUAUCUAUUCUUACAAUUAGUAUCUCUAACAUGCAUCCUCUCUAUGAGACUUUAAAAAUGUCCAGGACUGGAAAGGGCUUCAUGUGUUUACUUUUGCAUGGAAUUUAUAAGAAAAUAAUUAAGUGUAUGAUUAUUCUAUUAUGAAGAAUUUGAAGUUAAUGAGCUCCAGUUUUUGCUAUUGUUUUUAUUGUGGAUGUAAGCUGUGGCCAUCCUCCAACGUUUAUUUUACUGUAACACAUUAUAUAUAUUCAACUGAAAUUACCGGUUCGCUCGAGCGUAUAAGAUUAAGUUGUUCGGGUCGAACUCUGAGCCUCUAACUCAUCCUCUAAAUUGAUUUGUCUUUUUUUUGUGCAUUGAAUUUCAUUCAGCAAGCCAGUGUUAGAAGCAAAAUCGGAGACCUAAUUUAUAAACUUUUGUAGAACAAACUUCUCUCAACCAGAUGAGGUCUGUUGGCUGUGCACUUAGGAAAUUGUUAAUGUCUCAGUUUCACUGAUUUUAAUUUUUUUCUAAAAUUAUAAAAAUGAUUGUUCUAAGUUGCAAUUAUUGGAUGUCGAUGUCCUUGGCCGACAAUUUCAAUUUUAGGUUUCAGUGAUGAUAAUAUCUACUUUUUGCAACAUUUGAUGUUUACCCAUAGUUAAUAUUGGUGGAUGAAACAAGUUGAUGUUUGGAAACCUGGGCUUGAAAUUUAAUUAAAAUGCAUGCACCACUGAGACCGGAUGCAUAAAAAAAAAGAAAAGAUUUCCAUGGUUUAAAUAAUGUGUACACCUGCAAUGUUUUGAGUUUGUGGAAA
rnacentral:lncRNA from 1 species